rnacentral:rRNA from 4 species
ACCCUUUAAUGUUUGAUGUUCUAACGUGGACCCGUUACCCGGGUUGCGGACAGUGUCUGGUGGGUAGUUUGACUGGGGCGGUCUCCUCCUAAAGAGUAACGGAGGAGCACGAAGGUUGGCUAAUCCUGGUCGGACAUCAGGAGGUUAGUGCAAUGGCAUAAGCCAGCUUGACUGCGAGCGUGACGGCGCGAGCAGGUGCGAAAGCAGGUCAUAGUGAUCCGGUGGUUCUGAAUGGAAGGGCCAUCGCUCAACGGAUAAAAGGUACUCCGGGGAUAACAGGCUGAUACCGCCCAAGAGUUCAUAUCGACGGCGGUGUUUGGCACCUCGAUGUCGGCUCAUCACAUCCUGGGGCUGAAGUAGGUCCCAAGGGUAUGGCUGUUCGCCAUUUAAAGUGGUACGCGAGCUGGGUUUAGAACGUCGUGAGACAGUUCGGUCCCUAUCUGCCGUGGGCGCUGGAGAACUGAGGGGGGCUGCUCCUAGUACGAGAGGACCGGAGUGGACGCAUCACUGGUGUUCGGGUUGUCAUGCCAAUGGCACUGCCCGGUAGCUAAAUGCGGAAGAGAUAAGUGCUGAAAGCAUCUAAGCACGAAACUUGCCCCGAGAUGAGUUCUCCCUGAGACUUAGAGUCUCCUGAAGGAACGUUGAAGACGACGACGUUGAUAGGCCGGGUGUGUAAGCGCAGCGAUGCGUUGAGCUAACCGGUACUAAUGAACCGUGAGGCUUAACCUUACAACGCCG